CAGUGAAUAGGCCCAAGCGACUGUUUAUCAAAAACACAGGUCUCUGCUAAACCGUAAGGUGACGUAUAGGGGCUGACGCCUGCCCGGUGCUGGAAGGUUAAGAGGAGUGGUUAGCGCAAGCGAAGCUACGAAUCGAAGCCCCAGUAAACGGCGGCCGUAACUAUAACGGUCCUAAGGUAGCGAAAUUCCUUGUCGGGUAAGUUCCGACCCGCACGAAAGGCGUAACGAUUUGGGCACUGUCUCAACGAGAGACUCGGUGAAAUCAUAGUACCGGUGAAGAUGCCGGUUACCCGCGACAGGACGGAAAGACCCCGUGGAGCUUUACUGUAGCCUGAUAUUGAAAUUCGGUACAGUUUGUACAGGAUAGGUAGGAGCCUUAGAAGCGUGAGCGCUAGCUUACGUGGAGGCAUUGGUGGGAUACUACCCUAAUUGUAUUGGAUUUCUAACCCGCAGCACUUAUCGUGCUGGGAGACAGUGUCAGGCGGGCAGUUUGACUGGGGCGGUCGCCUCCUAAAGAGUAACGGAGGCGCUCAAAGGUUCCCUCAGAAUGGUUGGAAA
rnacentral:rRNA from 1 species